rnacentral:rRNA from 1 species
GGGUUAGUCGUCGUUGGUGACCAGCGGAGGGAUCAUUACAGAGUUGCAAAACUCCCACAAACCAUCGCGAAUCUUACCCGUACGGUUGCCUCGGCGCUGGCGGUCCGGAAAGCCUUCGGGCUCAUGGACCCUCGGGUCUCCCUCGCGGGAGGCUGCCCGCCGGAGUGCCGAAACUAAACUCUUGAUAUUUUAUGUCUCUCUGAGUAAACUUUUAAAUAAGUCAAAACUUUCAACAACGGAUCUCUUGGUUCUGGCAUCGAUGAAGAACGCAGCGAAAUGCGAUAAGUAAUGUGAAUUGCAGAAUUCAGUGAAUCAUCGAAUCUUUGAACGCACAUUGCGCUCGCCAGUAUUCUGGCGAGCAUGCCUGUUCGAGCGUCAUUUCAACCAUCAAGCUCUGCUUGCGUUGGGGAUCCGCGGCUGCCCGCGGUCCCUCAAAAACAGUGGCGGGCUCGCUAGUCACACCGAGCGUAGUAACUCUACAUCGCUAUGGUCGUGCGGCGGGUUCUUGCCGUAAAACCCCCAAUUUUUAAGGUUGACCUCGGAUCAGGUAGGAAUACCCGCUGAACUUAAGCAUACAAGAGG